CUAUGGAUCAGUGAAGAGAUAUAAGAGGGGCUAGAAUUGUUCAGUGCUUUAAAUGUAUGGGUUAGCACUUUGAAUUGACUCCUAUAGGAUACAGGGAGCCAAUGUAAGGACUGGCAGAGGGGUGAUGUGUGCGCGGACCGACUAGAGAGGAAAAUCAGUCUGGCGGCAGCGUUCUAUCUAGCAUAUAAAUGAUCCUGAAAUUGGC